rnacentral:lncRNA from 1 species
GCUAACUUGGAUAUUUCUUCUAUGUCUCAUUUAGCCACUGUCACUGAGGAACAUGUCUGGCUGAGAUGAUGGUGUUGAUAGAGUAGGGUCCAAUCAGUGUAUUUGCCCAAUCCUCCAGGCAUCACUUCCCACACAAGAAUCCCUGUCUGAGUAGUUGCUGUCCUGCAGACAAUGAUCUGCAUUUAGGAGAUGCGCUUGGUGGCGGUGACAUCCCAAGACAACCGUUAUACCCACCUCUUCCGCCGCGACCAGGAAGCCAUAGUAAUACUGGUAAGAAUAUUUUCUCCUCAGAAAAUCUAGCACUAGGAACUGUUCAGAGAAGUUAUUUUGAACACUUUACUCUCUUAUUUCUUCAUGUUAUUCAUAUAUUCAUAUUCUUCAUUAAUUAUUUAUAUUUUUUUUUAUCAUCCCUUCCUGAUAUUUCCCUUUUAUUUUUCUUCUUCUUCUUCUUCUUCUUCCUCUUCCUCUUCUUCCUCUUCUUCUUCUUCUUCUUCUUCCUUUUCUUCUUCUACUUCUUCUUCUUCCUCUUCUUCUUCCUCUUCCUCUUCUUCCUCUUCUUCUUCUUCUUCUUCUUCUUCUUCUUCUUCUUCUUCUUCUUCUUCCUCUUCUUCUUCUUCUUCUUCGUCUUCUUCUUCUUCUUCUUAUUAUUAUUAUUAUUUUCACUAUUCUUGACCCAGUGUUUGGAAAGAUUUUCUGAGAUUUUGUUCUGGCACUAUAAGACUUUUCUGCCUCCCCUCCCAAAUCAAAGGACAUUGACUUCUAACUGGCAUGAGACUAAUAUUUAUCUUGUUGCUCCUUUUAUUUUGGGUAUGUAUACACAGAACCGUGCUAAGGUUCAAAUUUGACAUCUGUCUACAUGAAGUGGAUAAGGCUAUGUACAAAUCCAUACUGAGAGAUGGGUCUGAGAAGGCUCUAGGGUAUACAGCAGGUGGGACAGGGGAUAUGGAUUUAAGAUUCCUUUCAACUGUUAUCCCAGACAUACACUUAAAUACAAUGGAGGUGAUACAUCUAUCCUAGCUAUUGCCAUGUAUCUCAUGUUUACUUCUGGUAUGACUGUAGUGAUGCUCUGUGGAUAUGCCCUUCUGGAGCCCUUCCUAGAAGGGACCCACUGAUUUCCUGCUACAAGAGCUGCUGGGAUUUGAGUUGUCCUUACUAUAUUAGGAUCCAUUCUAUUGAAGCUCCAGGUUCUCACAUCCCAUGAGUGUUUACUUCUAUGAAUAGAACUGGGCCAGUUAAUGAGUGGGGCUUUUGCAUAUUGUAUUUAGGACCCUAAAGUGGCUCCAAGAUUCGGACUCACUCCAAAUACAGAACAAAUUUAACAUAUUUACAGACAUACAUGUCUUCAUGCUCAGAAUGGGUAGACAACAACAGUACUUUAGCUUCCAGUGAAUGUAAAUGGGUAACUGCUUCUGUAAGACAGCUGCCAUACGGACACCGGGAUUUCAAAGGUCCCUCACCUUUCCCCAGAACUAUUAAAAAAAAGGCAGAGAAUGGAACUGAAGAGGUUACCACUGUUCAGAUAAUUUUGCAACAGAAGUCCUAAUUUUUAUCUUGCAGGAGGAUUUAACGACUACGAUCUUGUUGAUGGGAAGCCUUUACCACCACACAUGGCUGGUAGUAUUUGAUGAUUCCCGUUGCAUUUUCUUGUUAAUAUUUAUAAAUCAGAGCUGACUGGUUUUGCUUUAGCACAGAUGUUUAUUACUGAAGGUGUAGGAUAAGACUCUGCUAUUUUUAUUUUGACUAGUCAUCUUUCUCCAUGGCUUUUAGCACAAAGCUUUAGCUCCUUUGAAACAUAUCCCUAAAGACCUUGCAAUGUUAAGCCAGAACCUUGCAG